GACGAACGCUGGCGGCGUGCCUAAUACAUGCAAGUAGGACGCAGUUGCGAACGGGUGAGUAACGCGUAGGUAACUACCUAUUAGAGGGGGAUAACUAUUGAAAACGAUAGCUAAUACCGCAUACUAGUAGAUGGACCUGCGUUGUAUUAGCUAGUAGGUAGGGUAAUGGCCUACCUAGGCAACGAUACAUAGCCGGACUGGGAGGGUGGUCGGCCAAAAUGGGACUGAGACACGGCCCAAACUCCUACGGGAGGGAGCAGGAGGGAAUCUUCGGAAAUGGGGGGAAACCUGACCGAGCAAAGGCGCCUGAGUGAAGAAGGUUUUCGGAUCGUAAAGCUCUGUUGUUAAGGAAGCGGUACUUAAACAGAAAGGGACGGCUAACUACGUGCCAGCAGCCGCGGUAAUAC
rnacentral:rRNA from 1 species